UAAUCGUCUGUGGAGAAAUACAAACACAUGAGCACGAGUCACAGGUUGUUAAAGCCAGUAACAAGGACUAGGAAUGUCCUCAGUUAUGGAUUUUAAAAGUUAUUUUGUGACUGAAUUAAUGUAUCUGCUUGGCUCAACAGGUGAGCACUGUCCAGAGUGAAUCCAAGGAUAACAUUCUUUGAAUAUGUUAACAAGAACAACUAUCUGAAGCCAUGCUAGCAGCUGUGUGACACUUGUUUUUAUAAUUAAUUAAUUGUUUAGUCUAUGACAUGUCAGAAAAUGUGCAUUCUGAUUUCCUGCAGCUAAAGUUAACGUCUUCACACAUCUUGUUUGGUCUGAACAACAAUCAAAAACCCAAAGAUAAACAUAUACGACACAUAUACGACACAUAAAAGCAGCAAAUAUUCAAAUUUGAGAAGCUGGAACUGGAUAGAUACCUAGAGACUCAUUGUACAUGAAUAUGCUGGUGUGGGUUUCCUGAUAACAACUGCUGAUAACACUUUGAUUUGAUUAUUUGAUGUCAUUUAGAAGAUUGGAAUGUAUAGCACCAAAUGGGCGAUUGGUUUUUGCUUUGCUAUGUGAUCAUUAAAAACAAAUACUGUUGUGAAAGAACAACAAAGCAAUGACAGAUGUAUGUAUUUCAACAAAGGAGGAUGAGAAACUUAGAAACUUUGCUGUUUUAAAGAGCCUUCGUGGCCAUUGGAGUAUAGAUCUCUGAGUUUACGAGGUGUACUUGAAUGCACCAUGAACUCGUGUACUGUCAAGGUUUGGUAACGAUACUUGAAUAACCUGAGGCAGGUAACGUCAUGGUCGGACAGAUAUUUACAGUUGUCGUGUGGUAACGUUCACUAACCUCAGUGUACUUCUGGUAAACCUAAAACACGUCAUUAUUCUGACAGUGUGGGAACCGGAAUUAGGCCAGAGGUGGGAGGGCAAGGUCCUCCAACAAGUUCAGAAUGGUCAUUCUUAUGCAACUUUGCCCUGAGGACUGAGAGCAGAUGGUCUGCAGGUCUAAGAGAACAAACGGGGGUGUAAAGGACAAGAAGGUCAGUGAUGUAAGAUGGGAAUGUAAUGGAGUGGAAGUGUAAAGUAGCAGGAAAGGGAAAUGAUCAAGUUAAUUAUAUCUCUAAAAGUAUAGUACAUGAGUAAAUGUACUUAGUUACUUAAUGCUGAGAUCGAUAUCAGCAAUAUUACAGUAUAAAAAUACUCCUUUACAAAUGAGCAUCUUGCAUUCAAAAUAUACUGAAUAUGUUUUACUUAUUUAGGAAAAAGUAUUUGUGGCAACAUUUACUGAAAGUAAGUACUCAUUAUGCAAAAUGUUAUAUGUACAAAAUGUGUUCACGCCUCUUAAAUCUCUCAGAAAAAGACCUUUUAUUGUCACUUACCCUAAAUGAAUCACAGAUGUAAAAUACAUUAUUUGUUUUACAGAUAAAAUCUAGAUAUGAAAAGUCAUUUUAGCUGUGUAGUACUGUAGUACUGUACUCAAGUUCAGUACUUGAGUAAAUGUACUUUCCAUCACUAGGAAGAAGAAGUAUUGAGAUCUUUUAUUUAAGUAAAAGUAGCAAUGUCAGUAUGUACACA